GCCGAUAUAGCUCAAUGGCUAGAGCCCUGCCUUAGUAACGCAGUGAUCUCAGUUCGAUUCUGAGUUUCGGCUCCA
rnacentral:tRNA from 1 species